CUUGUAGGCUUCACGGGUGACGGAACGCAAUACGAGCUAGCCAUUGGCAUUAUCUGAAAAAAUGUCUAAAUUGGAGUUGUUGAGAGUGAUUUUUAACCAACGAUGUACAGGGCCUGCGGAGGAGAUAUUCAGAGCCGUUGCAAAAACGAUAUCAGAGUACCAGGACAACGUUUAUCUAUCGAAAGAGGACAACCGACGUCUACAGGGGCUGCUUGACAUCAUCCUGAAACCUGAGAUAAAGAUGUAUAGAGCAGAUGUUGAGCAGUUCAUUGUCUCUGAGGUGGAGUUUCCCCCUGAGCAGCAGCGCUUUGAACAAGAGUGGAGCCCUGAUUUGGGGCAAGAUGACUGGAACCCCAUACAGAUUAACAAGAAGCAGGAGGAAUUCCGGAUCAUCCAGGAGGAGGAAGACUCUGUAAUCACUCCUGCCUGGGUGAAAAGUGACUAUGAUCAGUACUCAACUCAGUCCUCACAAACCCAAAGUGAAGAAUACAAAGACAGACCAAAACCUAAGGAAGUGGAUUAUUCAAAGCCAACCAGUGGCUCUCGGCCCAAAUGGAGGAGGACACAGACAGAAAAGAGAAAGUUUUAUCAGCUCCAAGGGUAGAACAUCAAUGGAUCUGAAAUCACCAGUGCAAAGGAGGUGUCAGACAGCAGAUAAAUCAUUUUGCUGUAGUGAUUGUGGGGAAUGUUUCACUCAGAUGGGAAAACUGAAUUCUCAUAGGAUCAUGAUACACUCCAGAGGGCAUGCUUGAUGGUGCUGAUGAUCCUCCACUGCUGGCGGAGCUAGGUGUCGUUACAUCCACCGGGAGGACCGUUCAGGAUGUUCUCCGCCGUCAAGCGAGGUGUUGGCGUUUAACCAUACCUGUUGUGGAUCUACGGCUGAGCUGGCUCUCAAGUGGGCGAUGGUGUUCUUGGUGCGGCUGUGGGCCAUGAUGUCCUUCUACUUCCAGGAUGCCAGCCCAGACAUGGGGAGGAGGAAGUAGAGGCUGAGGCUGUUGAAGAGGUGGCGGCAGAACCUAAAGCUAUAGUAACACUGCAACGAACUGGGCGCCAGCCUGGCCUCCGCCAGCUCCUCUUCUAAGGAUUGUUACCUGCAACAGAUAACAAGAACAGCCAACAGAGCCACCGCCUGGAUCGCUGGAUUCAACCUCCUGCUGAGAGAAAGGGUCCCCCGACAACGUGACAUUUCCAGCAAUUCAUAGUCUCUGAAGUGGAGUUUCCCCCUGAGCAGCAGCAUUAUAAGCAGGAUUGGAGCCCCAGUCUGGGGCAAUAUAAUUGGAACCCCAUACAGAUUAAAGAGGAAGAGGAGGAAUUCAGCGUCAUUCAGGAGGCUGAAGACUCUGUAUUCACUCCUGCCUGGGUGAAAAGUGACUAUGAUCAGUACCCAACUCAGUCCUCACAAACCCAAAGUGAAGAAUACGAAGACACAAUGGCCUCUACUGAAGAGAUCAAAACAGAACCGAAGGAAGACUAUUCCUCAGAGCCAACCAGUGACUCUCAUCUCAAGUGCAAAUUGAAGAAGACAUGGACAGAAAAAGGACAAAGCUCGAAUGGUGGAAAAUCCAUGGAUCUGAAAUCUCCAGUGCAAAGAAGUCGCACAGAAGAGAAAUCAUUUUGCUGUAGUGAUUGUGGUGAAUGUUUCACUCAGAUGGGAACACUGGAUUCUCAUAUGAGGACCCACACACGGGAGAAGUUGUAUCACUGUCAAGAUUGUGACAAAGUAUUCACUCGGCUUGACCGCUUCAAAUUGCAUAGGAAGGCCCACACAGGAGAGAAACCGCAUCGCUGUGGUGAAUGUGGCAAAUGUUUUUCUCAAGUUGGAUAUCUGAACUAUCACAUAAAGACUCACACAGGAGAGAAACCGCAUCGCUGUCAUGAUUGUGGCAAAUGUUUUUUUCGAGUUGGUGAGCUGACACUUCAUAAGAGGAUUCACACAGGUGAGAAACCACAUCGCUGCCUGGUCUGUGGCAAAUGUUUUGCUCGUCCUAGUAAUUUGAGUAGUCACAUUAGGGUUCACACAGGGGAGAAAUCUUAUAGCUGUCAUCAUUGUGGCAAAUAUUUUCGUCAUAAAGGUAAUCUGACAACGCAUAUGAGGAUUCACACGAGGGAAAUCACAUCAUUGUCGCUAUAGUAGCAGAUCUUUCAGAACUGGCGUUAGUCACAUGAGUUCAUAUGAGGAUAAUCACAUGAGCGAUAAACUAUAUUGCUGUCAGGAUUGUUGUAAAUAUUUCACUAAUUGUUUGAAUUGGCUGGGACAUCGGAAAGAAGAGACCACAUUACUGCCACGACUAGAAAAUAUUUCACAACUGCCUUUUUUUGACAUUGUGUAUGUGACAUUCACACGGGAGGAAUCUUACAAGCGUCUGUCCAAUGCUUAAGUGCCAAAAGUGCAUUGAAUUGUCUUCAGAAUACACACUGAGAAGAAACUAUAUAGGCUAAGUGAUGAUUGCUUCAAAACAAAGGCUUAAGCAGACACAUGGAGAGAAUGCACGGGAACAUGACUGUGCCCUGUGUAGGGAAGGGCAUCAGACAGACAAGUUACUAUUGUUCAUAGUUUAACUUGAUUAUAUUAGUCUCAUUUUAUAACUUUCCAUGUGAACCCUGUCAGGCAAUCACUGCACAAUAUCUGUCAAAUAAUUGGUCCAACGAUAGUGAUACAAUUAUCUUGAUCUGAUGAAAUCCACGUUGAUGCAAGCUGUAACCGAAUCUAGCUCAAACGGCCACUUAAACUGGUCCUAUUGAAUCCAGUAGAGACCAUUAGAUUCCAGUUCAGACCACUAGACACCAGUAGCCAUUCUCUACCUGAACAAACCUAGAGAAUUGAUACAUUGUUUAUGUACGCAUGUAUAAUACCUACUUCGGUGUGUAGUUGUUUGUUUAGCCCCCUAUUGAGUACUGUCUUCCUUGUAAAUCAUGAUAAAACAUUAUGGAAAAGUUAUGUAAUGAUUUAUUGAAAAGAGUGGGAGCCCUGUUUAAAUGUUUUUUUAAAAUCAGAAUUACUUCAAGGUCCAUGUGUUUUAUAACUAGUGUAAGAUAUGUUGAUAAUACAAUCAUUCUAGCCUUUAUUAUUAAUUUGACAGUUUCACGUGACUAACUUUGAAAUAUUUACACUGGACCCGAAAGUGCUUCAUUACUCCUGUUGGCUUCACGGGUGACAGAACAUAACACAAGCUAGCCAUUGGCAUUAUCUGAAAAAUGUCUAAAUUGGAGUUGAGAGUGAUUUUUAACCAGGUGCUGUGGAUGAGAUUCAGAGCAUUUGCAAAAACAAUAUCAGAGUAACAGUUACCAGGACAACGUUUAUCUAUCGAAAGAGGACAACGGACGUCUACAGGGGCUGCUUGAAGUCAUCCUGAAAUCUGAGAUAAAGGUUUAUAGUGCAGGUUUAACUUUUUUUUUCUGUUAUUCAACAUUCAUUUUAGGAACAUUGACAAUGUUGACGGUUUAAUUCAGUUAGCAGGAAGAUAGGCUACAUCUAGCAAGCUCACGUUGGGUCACUAGCAGCCGGCCUCUGCAUCAUUUAUAGCUUGAACAACCGCUAGUGAUCGCUGCAAGGUUAUUAUAGUUUUGUGAUUUAAUAUUCAUGUUUUAUUUUGAUUAGAAAUAGUUCGUUUUUAGACUUGAUUUGCUAGUUUUUAUUUUGUUUGUUUUGAUAGAAAUGUUUAUUUCGUUUUUAUAUUAAGUAGCCUAUGUGUGGGAGGCCAGGAGACAUUUGUUGUUUUAGGAUGUCACUUCUGGGCACUGUAAUAUAUAAGUUGAUGGGCCUGGACCAUAGACAUAACAUCUCUGUGUCACGAUGGCAUCUGUGAGAGAAUGGGCAGUGCCGUUGAGGCCAUCUCAUCUAAAAAGUCAAUUUUCUUCUUCAUGAGUAAAAUUCAUAGGGUGAUUAUUCCUAAUGAUCUGGCACCAGGACUCCAACUGGGUCAUCAGGAAGGAACAGACAAUGAAUUGGGACGUUAAUGAAAUCAAAAUGGUGAAAGUCCUCAAAAACACUGCCCACGCUUUUAGCCAGUAGAGACGACUCCAUGCAACUUGAUGGCUGGGACAUUGUUUUAUAAUUGAAACCAAACCUAUCUGAAUGUGACUUGGAUUUAAAGGAUAAGCCCCUGGUGAAAGAGAACUCUUUCCCAAGUUUACACCAAUCAAUGCCUUUUUAACUUAAGUAGUAGUUUGUUAGAAUAAUUAAGUUCCUUAAUCUGACAGAGAGGAAAAAACAAAUGAAGGUCAUGGCACAUUUGACAUGCUAUGUUUAUGUAAUAUUAAACAUGUACAGUGCAUUCGGAAAGUAUUUAGACCCCUUGAUU